rnacentral:rRNA from 1 species
AUUGAACGCUAGCGGCAGGCCUAACACAUUCAAGGCGAGCUAGCGGCGGACGGGUGAGUAAUGUAUGGGGACUGCACGAUAGAGGGGGAUCACUCCUGGAAACGGUGGCUAAUACCGCAUACUAUCGGAUAACCCCUAUGGGAUUAGCUAGUAGGUGGGGUAAAGGCUCACCUAGGCGACGAUCUCUCACUGGUCUGAGAGGAUGAUCAUCCACACUGGGACGGGGACCAGGCCCAGUCGCCUACGGAGGCAGCAGUGGGGAAUAUUGCAAAAUGGGCGCAAGCCUGAUGCCGCCAUGCCGCGUGUAUGAAGAAGGCCUUAGGGUUGUAAAGUACUUUCAGCGGGGAGGCGUUACCCGCAGAAGAAGCACCGGCUAACUCCGUGCCAGCCGCCGCGGUAAUUC